AUGUGCCAACUUCCCUGCUCUCCCCUCUGCUAAUAUCUACCUCUUCUCUGUGAUUUGUCAUAAGGAUAUCUUUAAUAUGGAUCUACUUAAAUCCUGGUGAGACAGAGUUUUUUCAUAGUCCACUCAUGGUGCACACAGCUGAUUUUUGUGGGCAUUUCACAGCAGCCCUGCUCCUCAAUGCUGAUUUAGAGGAAAGGUCCCAGUGCAGGAAGGAGGGACAAGGGGGCAGCUGUCACUUUGACUGCUAUCUUUCAUGCUACCCCACCAGCUGGCACCUUCCCUUUCUGGCAGUGAGGACCAUUGACUUCCACUGUGAAUUUACUGAUUACAAGGAUGGAAGGAAGGAAGACUCAGAUCUACUCAAAUCAGCAGUGCAAAUUAGCACCUACAGAGCAACACUUUGACAGAAACUAUGGAUCUUUCAGUUUUCUGGAAACAUGGUCCCUAGUACAGAUCCAUUUCCCAUCAGUCACGUUAAACAUACCUGCUAGAAGACAAUGACG